rnacentral:lncRNA from 1 species
UAAGUUCAGUCAGAAUCUGUUCUCCUUGUAACAGAAUAGAAUUGGAAAAAUUAUUUGUUUUACUAAGGCUUUGACUGGAAUGUCAUAUCAGAAAAUGAUGUACAUAGAAUCUGGCUUUAAGAAACAACAAUUGAUUUUAUGUGGCCAAUGCUUACAAAGCCCUCUUGGGAAAACUGGCCUGGUACCUGGCUCAUAGCAUUCCCAGUUUUACAUGUGUGUAAGGAGAUCACUUUUUGGCAGACUCAGGAACCUCACGAUAUCGUGGGAAUCUCAAGAAAAGAGGAAUUCACUGAAAUCUAUGGUUACCACAAGAAAAAUCUGGUGAAAUUUUCCUCAUUAAAUGCCUGAAUGUUUAUACCAUACAGCAAAUAUCCCAUACUGGGCCCCAACAGAUGACUCAGUUGGCUGUUAAUGAAUGAUUUGGUCAAAGAUAGAAACAAACUAAGCGUGAGUUUGAGGAAGCCCUGAAGCCAGUUUCCAGUAUAUGGUGACAUCUCUCUGGUGGUCAGGUGGACCUGAUUUUUUUCUACAUAGCAUUUCACAGUGAGUAUUUUUCUUCCUGUGUCUUAGCCACAAUUUUUAAAAUGGUUUCUUUUUUUCUGUUUCAC